UAAUGUGUAGUCUAGUGGCUAAGGUACAUGACUCGGAGCCUUGAGGUUGGUGGUUCAGUCCAGCCACAGCAA